GCCAGUACCGUGCAAAGGUAGCAUAAUCACUUGUCUUUUAAAUGAAGACCCGUAUGAAUGGCAUAACGAGGGCUUAACUGUCUCCUCUUUCUAGUCAAUGAAAUUGAUCUUCCCGUGCAGAAGCGGGAAUAACUACAUAAGACGAGAAGACCCUAUGGAGCUUUAGACACUAAGACAGACCAUGUUAAUCAACCCUAAACAAAGAAUUAAACUAAAUGAUACCCUGUCCUACUGUCUUCGGUUGGGGCGACCAUGGGGAAGCACAAAACCCCCACGCGGAAUGAGAGGACCAACCCUUUAUCCUACCCUCCCACAAUUAAGAGUUACAACUCUAACCAACAGAACUUCUGACCAAACAUGAUCCGGCAACGCCGAUCAACGAACCAAGUUACCCUAGGGAUAACAGCGCAAUCCCCUUUUAGAGUCCAUAUCGACAAGGGGGUUUACGACCUCGAUGUUGGAUCAGGACAUCCUAAUGGUGCAGCCGCUAUUAAGGGUUCGUUUGUUCAACGAUUAAAGUCCUACG
rnacentral:rRNA from 1 species